UGUGCCUUUAUUUUGAAGAGCCCACUCUUAUUCUGUUACUUCCUUUAUUGCUGAUACUUGACUUCCUGCUGCCGUUCUGUCUGACUUCAACAGCAUACUCACGUUACUCCAGGACUGGUAAAACACGCUGACAAAGAUAUAUUUCUCAUAUUCUGUGUGAACAUUUGUGAGAGGUUAUUUUAUUGUGCCUCGUGUUUGUGUUGUUUAUAUGUCACAUUUAAGGAGAGUCACUCCGAGCUGUGUGUGGAAGCUAAGCUAACUAGCGGAGCAAACUUAGCGCCCUUGGAAGCGGAAGGAGUUUUCACGGUGUCAAAAUUGUGAGGAGAAAAGGAGGAGAGAAUUAAAGUUGCACCAGUCGAAGCUCUCUGCAUCUUGUGUCAUUAAUCCAAGUGGGCCGCUACAGUGAAAACUCCCCGGCUGCAACCAGUGACAACUUCUGGCUGCAACAGACCUGCCAUCCCUGCAGAGAAGCUGACGCCAUCUCAUCCGAGAUCCAGCUACCAACCUGUUACCAGCCAACUGACUCCAUUUGCACCCACAUCCUGCACAGGCAAGAUUAAAAGGACAGCACGCUAAAGGAAUUACCUGAAGUUCCUCUGGUGGACAGGCGGAGAUUUGGAGAAGGAACCACAGGAGUACAGGAUGGCGGUUCAUCUCUUCGGAGCCGCUUCGUCUCCAGGAUGUGCCAAUUUUGGUUUAAAGCAUCUAGCACGACAACACAAGGCUAGCUAUCCCCUAGCAUCAAUAUUUGUGGAGAAACAUUUUUAUGUUGAUGAUGGGUUAGUUAGCGUCCCAUCAAUUGAUGAGGCCAAGAAACUGAUCACUGAGUCGCAAGAGUUGUGCAAAAGAGGAGGCUUGCGCCUUCACAAAUUCAACUCAAAUGAAGAAGCAGUGCUCGCUUGCUUAGACCCCUCUGAAAAAGCAACAAACAUUGAGCCUCUAGGCUUUGAUCCAACCCCAUCAGAACAUGCUCUCGGCAUUCAAUGGUCGAUAAAGAAUGACACUUUCAGCUUUAACAUCAGCUUGAAGGAUCAGCCUUCAACCCGUCGUGGUUGUCUUUCUGUCGUCGCCUCU